UACGUAGGGUGCGAGCGUUAAUCGGAAUUACUGGGCGUAAAGGGUGCGCAGGCGGCCGCGCAAGUCGAGUGUGAAAGCCCCGGGCUUAACUUGGGAAUUGCGCUCGAAACUACGUGGCUGGAGUGUGGCAGAGGAAGGUGGAAUUCCACGUGUAGCGGUGAAAUGCGUAGAGAUGUGGAGGAACACCAAUGGCGAAGGCAGCCGUCUGGGCCAACACUGACGCUCAUGCACGAAAGCGUGGGGAGCAAACAGG
rnacentral:rRNA from 1 species